UCCCUGGUGGAUUAGUGGCUAGCAUGCAGUGCUCUCACCGCCAGGGUCCAGAUUUGAUUCCUGGUCAGGUAA